rnacentral:rRNA from 1 species
UCUGGUGCCAGCAGCCGCGGUAAUUCCAGCUCCAAUAGCGUAUAUUAAAGUUGUUGCGGUUAAAAAGCUCGUAGUUGGACUUGUGUCCCACGCCGUCGGUUCGUCGCCCGUCGACGUAACCGCACGGUUAUGUAAGUGGGACGUCCAGCCGGUGAGGCGCUGGUCUCGUCGUCGGUGCGCCCGCGCGCUUGCCGGCCGCCCCCUUAACUGGUGUGGCGCGUCGCGCAAGCGGCCUGCGUGGCGUUUCUCGGCGGCGGGGUGCCGGCCUCAUAUUACUCGUCUCGGUGCUCUUCAUCGAGUGUCUUGACGGGCCGGCUCGUUUACUUUGAACAAAUUAGAGUGCUCAAAGCAGGCUCCAAUGCCUGAAUAUUGUGUGCAUGGAAUAAUGGAAUAGGAUCUCGGUUCUAUUUUGUUGGUUUUCUGAACCAGAGAUAAUGAUUAAUAGAGACAGACGGGGGCAUUCGUAUUGCGACGUUAGAGGUGAAAUUCUUGGAUCGUCGCAAGACGAACCGAAGCGAAAGCAUUUGCCAAGAAUGUUUUCUUUAAUCAAGAACGAAAGUUAGAGGUUCGAAGGCGAUCAGAUACCGCCCUAGUUCUAACCAUAAACGAUGCCAACUAGCGAUCCGCCGGUGUUCCUCCGAUGACCCGGCGGGCAGCUUCCGGGAAACCAAAGUGUUUGGGUUCCGGGGGAAGUAUGGUUGCAAAGCUGAAACUUAAAGGAAUUGACGGAAGGGCACCACCAGGGUGGAGCCUGCGGCUUAAUUUGACUCAACACGGGAAACCUCACCAGGCCCGGACACUGGAAGGAUUGACAGAUUGAUAGCUCUUUCUUGAUUCAGUGGGUGGUGGUGCAUGGCCGUUCUUAGUUGGUGGAGCGAUUUGUCUGGUUAAUUCCGAUAACGAACGAGACUCUGGCCUGCUAACUAGUCGCAAUCACGACAUCCGCAUUCGUGCUGUCGGCGACAAAUAUAAACUCUUCUUAGAGGGACAGGCGGCUUCUAGCCGCACGAGAUUGAGCAAUAACAGGUCUGUGAUGCCCUUAGAUGUUYUGGGCCGCACGCGCGCUACACUGAAGGAAUCAACGUGUGUUUUCCCUUGGCCGAGAGGUCCGGGUAACCCGCUGAACCUCCUUCGUGCUAGGGAUUGGGGCUUGCAAUUGUUCCCCAUGAACGAGGAAUUCCCAGUAAGCGCGAGUCAUAAGCUCGCGUUGAUUACGUCCCUGCCCUUUGUACACACCGCCCGUCGCUACUACCGAUUGAAUGAUUUAGUGAGGUCUUCGGACCGUCGCGCGGCAGCGGGCGCAAGCUCCUGUCGAUGUUCGACGGAAAGAUGAUCAAACUUGAUUAUUUAGAGGAAGUAAAAUCGUAACAAGGUUUCCCCGUAGGUG